rnacentral:misc_RNA from 2 species
AACGCACCUUGCGCCCCUUGGCAUUCCGAGGGGCACACCCGUUUGAGUGUCGUGAAAUUCUCAAAAACCUUUCUUUUGAAAGGGUUUUGGACUUGGAGGCUUUUUGCUGGCUUUUAAGCGAGCUCCUCCCAAAUAAAUUAGUGGGGUCCGCUUUGCCGAUCCUUGACGUGAUAAGAUGUUUUCUACGUCUCGGGUUUGGCGAUGCCUCUUGGGCACCUGCUUCUAACCGUCCGAUGGACAAUGAUGGCGUCCCGGUCACCACCGUUUUAUCGGUUGGGAGGCUUGGCCCACCAAAAAAACCUUGACCUCAAAUCGGGUGAGACUACCCGCUGAACUUAA